rnacentral:lncRNA from 1 species
CCGGGAGCUGGAGGGAAGGUGCGAGCGCGCGGGGCGCGAACCGGCAGACGGACGCGCGGACCUUUUGAGCGCACCGCCGUCGGCGGCCUCUCCCGAGCCGCUGCGGCUUCCCCGCGCUAUUGGUGGGAGGCUGUGCUGGUGAGAAGCGACUGGCAAGAGGCUCAGAGGCGACCAUAAUGUCGUUAAGGUUCCACACACUGCCCACCCUGCCUAGAGCUGUCAAACCGGGUUGCAGAGAGCUGCUGUGUCUGUUGGUGAUCGCAGUGAUGGUGAGCCCCAGCUCCUCAGGACUGUGCCCUACGGCUUGCAUCUGUGCCACUGACAUUGUAAGCUGCACCAACAAAAACCUGUCUAAGGUGCCUGGGAACCUUUUCCGACUGAUUAAAAGACUGGAUCUGAGCUAUAACAGAAUCGGACUCCUGGAUGCCGACUGGAUUCCGGUGUC